rnacentral:tRNA from 1 species
AGAAUAAGCUAAAUAUAAGCUUUUGGGCUCAUACCUCAAAUAUAAAGAUAUCCUUUUUCUU